rnacentral:lncRNA from 1 species
UAUGAUCAUGUAGAAUGGAAAUGCAUGUUACUUACAUUUCGAAAUUUGGAUUUAGUUUAUGAAAGAUUGGGGUUGAUAUUGGAUUAGGGUUUAUAUUUCCAUGUAGGGUUUAGUGAUUAGUGGCUAGGGGUUAGUUUAUGAAAGAUUGGGGUUGACAUUGGAUUAGGAUUUAUAUUCCCGCGUAGGGUUUAGUGAAUAUUUGAUAGGGUUUAAUUUAUGUAUGAUUGUGGUUGGCAUUGAGUUAGGGUAUAUGGAAGAUUGGGGUUGACAUUCGAUUAGGGUUUAUAUUUACAUGUAGGGCUUAGAGAUAAGUGGUUAGGGUUUAGUUUAUGAAAGAUUAGGGUUGACAUUUAGUUAGGAUAUAUACUUCCAUGUAGGGUUUAGUAAAUUAUGAUUGAGAUGAGAUUAGGGUUAUAUUUCCGUGUAGGGUUUAGUGAUUAUCUUCUUCCCUGUAAUCAUAGAUACCUCAAAAUUUGAACAAUAUAUAUGUGAUGUGCUAUAUUGUUUGUUACAUUUUCUAUUAUAUAUGAUCAUGUAGAAUGGAAAUGCAUGUUACUUACAUUUCGAAAUUUGGAUUUAGUUUAUGAAAGAUUGGGGUUGAUAUUGGAUUAUGGUUUAUAUUUCCAUGUAGGGUUUAGUGAUUAGUGGGUACGGGUUAGUUUAUGAAAGAUUGGUGUUGACAUUGGAUUAGGAUUUAUAUUCCCGCUUAGGUUUAGUGAAUAGUUGAUAGGGUUUAAUUUAUGUAUGAUUAUGGUUGACAUUGGGGCAAACAUUACCAUGAAAGCAUACCCAUAUAAACAUUUGAGAAAUAUGUUAAAAUGAUCUUUAGAUUGCAACUACAUUUUCACAUUUUCUAUUAUAUAUGCCUCAUGUAGAAUAGUAAUGCAUCUUACUGGCAUUUCGAAAUUUGGGUUUAAUUUAUGGAAAAUUGGGGUUGACACUGGAUUAGGGUUUAUAUUUCCGUAUAGAAUUUAAUUAUUAGUUUAUAGUGUUUAAUUUAUACUCCGUGUUGGGUAAUCAUUCCUUCCGUCACCUUCUUGCUUUUGAGUUCCUUCGGAUGGACUUACAGUGGUAAUUAGAUGGAAUACAA